CGUCAAUAUCCCGUCUUACCUACCGACACAGCAUCCACAUAGUCAUUAUGCCAUGACGGUUAUUAUUGUCUGCAGAAUCAAAGAUGGUGCUACCAUUACGAGCUUCAAGUCCCUCUUUCGCACCUUCCUUGAUUCCCCUCAACGACAGGCGUUAUAUAUGCUCACUUUCCACUCCGGCAUUUCAAGGCAUUUUGCGCUCUGCUCGAAAUUCAGACGUGAUACACUCUCAAACUUAUCCCUCAUAUUGCCCUCCCGGGGCCUUUUCGAACAGAAAAGUAAACGUCUAUUCAUACAUCUCUAUCUUAUACACCUGUCAAGGGAGGUUUGGAGUUUACGCGAACGGAGUUUACGCGAACGGUAAAAGCUUCUUCAAUUUUUUAGCCUAGAUUAAGUUCAGUGUUGGUCAGCGC
rnacentral:sRNA from 1 species